UACGAAGGGGACUAGCGUUGUUCGGAAUUACUGGGCGUAAAGCGCACGUAGGCGGAUUUGUAAGUCAGGGGUGAAAUCCCGGGGCUCAACCUCGGAACUGCCUUUGAUACUGCAAAUCUCGAGUCCGAUAGAGGUGGGUGGAAUUCCUAGUGUAGAGGUGAAAUUCGUAGAUAUUGGGAAGAAUACCAGUGGCGAAGGCGGCCAACUGGUCCAGAUCUGACGCUGAGGUGCGAAAGCGUAGGGAGCAAACAGG
rnacentral:rRNA from 1 species